rnacentral:rRNA from 1 species
UACAGAGGGUGCAAGCGUUAAUCGGAAUUACUGGGCGUAAAGCAUGCGCAGUCGGUUAUUCAAGUCGGGCGUGAAAGCCCCGGGCUCAACCUGGGAAUUGCGUUCGAUACUGUCUAGCUAGAGUUCGGCAGAGGGAAGUGGAAUUUCAGGUGUAGCGGUGAAAUGCGUAGAUAUCCGAAGGAACAUCAGUGGCGAAAGCGGCUUCCUGGACCAGAACUGACGAUCAGGCACGAAAGCGUGGGGAGCAAACAGG